UACGUAGGGUGCAAGCGUUGUCCGGAAUUAUUGGGCGUAAAGAGCUCGUAGGCGGUCUGUCGCGUCUGCUGUGAAAACUCAGGGCUUAACCCUGAGCUUGCAGUGGGUACGGGCAGACUAGAGUGCGGUAGGGGAGACUGGAAUUCCUGGUGUAGCGGUGAAAUGCGCAGAUAUCAGGAGGAACACCGGUGGCGAAGGCGGUUCUCUGGGACGUACCUGACGCUGAGGAGCGAAAGCAUGGGGAGCGAACAGG
rnacentral:rRNA from 1 species